GGGUUGUGAGGUUAAGCGACUAAGCGUACACGGUGGAUGCCCUGGCAGUCAGAGGCGAUGAAGGACGUGCUAAUCUGCGAAAAGCGCCGGCGAGGUGAUAUGAACCUUUGACCCGGCGAUGUCCGAAUGGGGAAACCCAGUGUGAUUUGUCACACUAUCGUUAACUGAAUACAUAGGUUAACGAGGCGAACCGGGGGAACUGAAACAUCUAAGUACCCCGAGGAAAAGAAAUCAACCGAGAUUCCCCCAGUAGCGGCGAGCGAACGGGGAGCAGCCCAGAGUCUGAAUCAGCUUGUGUGUUAGUGGAAGCGUCUGGAAAGUCGCACGGUACAGGGUGACAGUCCCGUACACGAAAGCACACAGGCUGUGAACUCGAAGAGUAGGGCGGGACACGUGGUAUCCUGUCUGAAUAUGGGGGGACCAUCCUCCAAGGCUAAAUACUCCUGACUGACCGAUAGUGAACCAGUACCGUGAGGGAAAGGCGAAAAGAACCCCGGCGAGGGGAGUGAAAAAGAACCUGAAACCGUGUACGUACAAGCAGUGGGAGCACCUUCGUGGUGUGACUGCGUACCUUUUGUAUAAUGGGUCAGCGACUUAUAUUCUGUAGCAAGGUUAACCGUAUAGGGGAGCCGAAGGGAAACCGAGUCUUAACUGGGCGUUAAGUUGCAGGGUAUAGACCCGAAACCCGGUGAUCUAGCCAUGGGCAGGUUGAAGGUUGGGUAACACUAACUGGAGGACCGAACCGACUAAUGUUGAAAAAUUAGCGGAUGACUUGUGGCUGGGGGUGAAAGGCCAAUCAAACCGGGAGAUAGCUGGUUCUCCCCGAAAGCUAUUUAGGUAGCGCCUCGUGAACUCAUCUUCGGGGGUAGAGCACUGUUUCGGCUAGGGGGCCAUCCCGGCUUACCAACCCGAUGCAAACUACGAAUACCGAAGAAUGUUAUCACGGGAGACACACGGCGGGUGCUAACGUCCGUCGUGAAGAGGGAAACAACCCAGACCGCCAGCUAAGGUCCCAAAGUCAUGGUUAAGUGGGAAACGAUGUGGGAAGGCACAGACAGCCAGGAUGUUGGCUUAGAAGCAGCCAUCAUUUAAAGAAAGCGUAAUAGCUCACUGGUCGAGUCGGCCUGCGCGGAAGAUGUAACGGGGCUAAACCAUGCACCGAAGCUGCGGCAGCGACGCUUAUGCGUUGUUGGGUAGGGGAGCGUUCUGUAAGCCGUUGAAGGUGUGCUGUGAGGCAUGCUGGAGGUAUCAGAAGUGCGAAUGCUGACAUAAGUAACGAUAAAGCGGGUGAAAAGCCCGCUCGCCGGAAGACCAAGGGUUCCUGUCCAACGUUAAUCGGGGCAGGGUGAGUCGACCCCUAAGGCGAGGCCGAAAGGCGUAGUCGAUGGGAAACAGGUUAAUAUUCCUGUACUUGGUGUUACUGCGAAGGGGGGACGGAGAAGGCUAUGUUAGCCGGGCGACGGUUGUCCCGGUUUAAGCAUGUAGGCGGAGGUUCCAGGUAAAUCCGGUACCUUUUAACGCUGAGGUGUGAUGACGAGGCACUACGGUGCUGAAGUAACAAAUGCCCUGCUUCCAGGAAAAGCCUCUAAGCAUCAGGUAACACGAAAUCGUACCCCAAACCGACACAGGUGGUCAGGUAGAGAAUACCAAGGCGCUUGAGAGAACUCGGGUGAAGGAACUAGGCAAAAUGGUGCCGUAACUUCGGGAGAAGGCACGCUGAUAUGUAGGUGAAGCCCCUGCGGGUGGAGCUGAAAUCAGUCGAAGAUACCAGCUGGCUGCAACUGUUUAUUAAAAACACAGCACUGUGCAAACACGAAAGUGGACGUAUACGGUGUGACGCCUGCCCGGUGCCGGAAGGUUAAUUGAUGGGGUUAGCGGCAACGCGAAGCUCUUGAUCGAAGCCCCGGUAAACGGCGGCCGUAACUAUAACGGUCCUAAGGUAGCGAAAUUCCUUGUCGGGUAAGUUCCGACCUGCACGAAUGGCGUAAUGAUGGCCAGGCUGUCUCCACCCGAGACUCAGUGAAAUUGAACUCGCUGUGAAGAUGCAGUGUACCCGCGGCAAGACGGAAAGACCCCGUGAACCUUUACUAUAGCUUGACACUGAACACUGGUCCUUGAUGUGUAGGAUAGGUGGGAGGCUUUGAAGCGUGGACGCCAGUCUGCGUGGAGCCAACCUUGAAAUACCACCCUUUAAUGGCUGGUGUUCUAACGUAGACCCGUAAUCCGGGUUGCGGACAGUGUCUGGUGGGUAGUUUGACUGGGGCGGUCUCCUCCCAAAGAGUAACGGAGGAGCACGAAGGUUAGCUAAUCCUGGUCGGACAUCAGGAGGUUAGUGCAAUGGCAUAAGCUAGCUUGACUGCGAGAGUGACGGCUCGAGCAGGUGCGAAAGCAGGUCAUAGUGAUCCGGUGGUUCUGAAUGGAAGGGCCAUCGCUCAACGGAUAAAAGGUACUCCGGGGAUAACAGGCUGAUACCGCCCAAGAGUUCAUAUCGACGGCGGUGUUUGGCACCUCGAUGUCGGCUCAUCACAUCCUGGGGCUGAAGUAGGUCCCAAGGGUAUGGCUGUUCGCCAUUUAAAGUGGUACGCGAGCUGGGUUUAGAACGUCGUGAGACAGUUCGGUCCCUAUCUGCCGUGGGCGCUGGAGAAUUGAGGGGGGCUGCUCCUAGUACGAGAGGACCGGAGUGGACGCAUCACUGGUGUUCGGGUUGUCAUGCCAAUGGCACUGCCCGGUAGCUAAAUGCGGAAAAGAUAAGUGCUGAAAGCAUCUAAGCACGAAACUUGCCCCGAGAUGAGUUCUCCCUGACCCUUUAAGGGUCCUGAAGGAACGUUGAAGACGACGACGUUGAUAGGUCGGGUGUGUAAGCGCAGCGAUGCGUUGAGCUAACCGAUACUAAUGAACCGUGAGGCUUAACCUUACAACGCCGAAGCUGUU
rnacentral:rRNA from 1 species